CCUACGGGAGGCAGCAGUGGGGAAUAUUGCGCAAUGGGGGAAACCCUGACGCAGCAACGCCGCGUGAGUGAGGAAGGACUUCGGUCUGUAAAGCUCUGUUAAUGAGGAAAAAUGGUAGUUGGUCUAAUAGGCCGAUUAUUUGAUGGUACUCAUAGAGGAAGCACCGGCUAACUUCGUGCCAGCAGCCGCGGUAAUACGAAGGGUGCAAGCGUUGUUCGGAUUUAUUGGGCGUAAAGCGCGCGUAGGCGGACCUUGCAAGUAAGAUGUGAAAUCUCGAGGCUCAACCUCGAAACUGCGUCUUAAACUACAGGUCUAGAAUCUCGGAGGGGAAGGGAAGUUUCGCAUGUAGGGGUAAAAUCCGUAGAUAUGCGAAGGAACACCAGAGGCGAAGGCGCCUUCCUGGAACGAGUAUUCGACGCUGAGGCGCGAAAGCGUGGGGAUCAAACAGGAUUAGGAUACCCUGGUAGUCCACGCUGUAAACGAUGAACACUAGGUAUUGGAGGAUUUGACCCCUUCAGUGCCGUAGCUAACGCGUUAAGUGUUCCGCCUGGGAAAGUCGGUCGCAAGCUAAAACUUAAAGGAAUUAGAACGGUGUUGAGAGNGCGAGCGACGACGAGGAGAG
rnacentral:rRNA from 1 species